rnacentral:rRNA from 1 species
AUUGAACGCUGGCGGCAGGCCUAACACAUGCAAGUCGAGCGAGCGGCGGACGGGGGAGUAAUGUCUGGGAAACUGCCUGAUGGAGGGGGAUAACUACUGGAAACGGUAGCUAAUACCGCAUACCAUCAGAUGUGCCAAGAGGGGAUUAGCUAGUAGGUGGGGUAACGGCGAACCUAGGCGACGAUCCCUAGCUGGUCUGAGAGGAUGCACAGCCACACUGGAACUGAGACACGGUCCAGACUCCUACGGGAGGCAGCAGUUGGGAAUAUUGCACAAUGGGCGCAAGCCUGAUGCAGCCAUGCCGCGUGUGUGAAGAAGGCCUUCGGGUUUUAAAGCACUUUCAGCGUGGAGGCGUUACCCGCAGAAGAAGCACCGUCUAACUCCGUGCCAGCAGCCGCGGUAAUUC